CCAAGGCAGACUGGCAUGUGUCAGCCAACUCUGGGCGAGUGUCUCUUUGAGAGGCUCACUCUCAAGCAUGAUUAGGAGU
rnacentral:pre_miRNA from 1 species